rnacentral:rRNA from 1 species
UACGAAGGGGGCUAGCGUUGCUCGGAAUCACUGGGCGUAAAGCGCUCGUAGGCGGAUUGUUAAGUCGGGGGUGAAAUCCUGGAGCUCAACUCCAGAACUGCCUUUGAUACUGGCGAUCUCGAGUCCGGGAGAGGUGAGUGGAACUGCGAGUGUAGAGGUGAAAUUCGUAGAUAUUCGCAAGAACACCAGUGGCGAAGGCGGCUCACUGGCCCGGUACUGACGCUGAGGUGCGAAAGCGUGGGGAGCAAACAGG